UACGGGGGGGGGCAAGCGUUGUUCGGAAUUACUGGGCGUAAAGGGCUCGUAGGCGGCCAACUAAGUCGGACGUGAAAUCCCCAGGCUUAACCUGGGAACUGCGUCUGAUACUGGAUGGCUUGAAUUCGGGAGAGGGAUGCAGAAUUCCAGGUGUAGCGGUGAAAUGCGUAGAUAUCUGGAGGAAUACCGGUGGCGAAGGCGGCAUCCUGGACCGACAUUGACGCUGAGGAGCGAAAGCUAGGGGAGCAAACGGG
rnacentral:rRNA from 1 species